AGUGAACGCUGGCGGUAGGCCUAACACAUGCAAGUCGAACGGCAGCACAGUAAGAGCUUGCUCUUACGGGUGGCGAGUGGCGGACGGGUGAGGAAUACAUCGGAAUCUACUUUUUCGUGGGGGAUAACGUAGGGAAACUUACGCUAAUACCGCAUACGACCUACGGGUGAAAGCAGGGGAUCUUCGGACCUUGCGCGAUUGAAUGAGCCGAUGUCGGAUUAGCUAGUUGGCGGGGUAAAGGCCCACCAAGGCGACGAUCCGUAGCUGGUCUGAGAGGAUGAUCAGCCACACUGGAACUGAGACACGGUCCAGACUCCUACGGGAGGCAGCAGUGGGGAAUAUUGGACAAUGGGCGCAAGCCUGAUCCAGCCAUACCGCGUGGGUGAAGAGGGCCUUCGGGUUGUAAAGCUCUUUUGUUGGGAAAGAAAAGCAGCAGGUUAAUACCCCGCUGUUCUGACGGUACCCAAAGAAUAAGCACCGGCUAACUUCGUG
rnacentral:rRNA from 1 species